UGUGCAUUCCCAUUUAGUUGAGCUCUGC
rnacentral:piRNA from 1 species